rnacentral:tRNA from 1 species
UCCGGGAUGGUGUAAUGGUAGCACGACUGGCUCUGAACCAGUUAGUUGGGGUUCGAGUCCCUGUCCCGGAG